rnacentral:rRNA from 1 species
UACGGAGGGGGCUAGCGUUGUCCGAAGUUACUGGGCGUAAAGCGCGCGUAGGCGGGUUGGUAAGUCCGCUGUGAAAGCCCGGAGCUCAACUCCGGAGGGUCGGUGGAUACUGCCAGUCUUGAAGGUGCUAGGGGGAGAUGGAAUUACCGGUGUAGCGGUGAAAUGCGUAGAUAUCGGUAGGAACACCAGUGGCGAAGGCGGUCUCCUGGGGCAUUCUUGACACUGAGGCGCGAAAGCUGGGGGAGCGAACGGG